UGGGGAAUUUUGGACAAUGGCGAAGCCUGAUCCAGCAAUGCCGCGUGUGUGAAGAAGGCCUUCGGGUUGUAAAGCACUUUUUGUCCGGAAAGAAAUCCUUGGCUCUAAUACAGUCGGGGGAUGACGGUACCGGAAGAAUAAGCACCGGCUAACUACGUGCCAGCAGCCGCGGUAAUACGUAGGGUGCAAGCGUUAAUCGGAAUUACUGGGCGUAAAGCGUGCGCAGGCGGUUUGCUAAGACCGAUGUGAAAUCCCCGGGCUCAACCUGGGAACUGCAUUGGUGACUGGCAGGCUAGAGUAUGGCAGAGGGGGGUAGAAUUCCACGUGUAGCAGUGAAAUGCGUAGAGAUGUGGAGGAAUACCGAUGGCGAAGGCAGCCCCCUGGGCCAAUACUGACGCUCAUGCACGAAAGCGUGGGGAGCAAACAGGAUUAGAU
rnacentral:rRNA from 1 species